rnacentral:rRNA from 1 species
UACGUAGGGUCCAAGCGUUAUCCGGAUUUACUGGGUGUAAAGGGCGAGUAGACGGCGCUGUAAGUCAGCUGUGAAAACUUAGGGCUCAACCUUAAGCCUGCAGCUGAAACUGUAGUGCUAGAGUGCAGGAGAGGUAAGCGGAAUUCCUAGUGUAGCGGUGAAAUGCGUAGAUAUUAGGAGGAACACCAGUGGCGAAGGCGGCUUACUGGACUGUAACUGACGUUGAGGCGCGAGAGUGUGGGGAGCAAACAGG